rnacentral:lncRNA from 1 species
AGACAGAGCGUGAGCGGGGGAGGGGCAGAGAGCGAGGGAGAUGCAGAAUCCGAAGCAGGCUCCGGGCUCCGAGCUGUCAGCACAGAGCCUGAUGCAGGGGUUGACCCCACGAACCUUGAGAUCGUGACUGGAACUGAAGUCGGACACUCCAGUGGCUGAGUCCCCAGGCGCCCCGAGACCAGUUACUUUAACCCCUCCUCACAGAGCAUGUGGGGGCUCCAGGUGCACAACCAGGAACAGGACUCACACCCCAUCCCCCACUCCUGGGUCAUGAUCCCCGGUCUUCAGAUCCAGACGGACCCCAGUGUGCAGGGAUGGCAGUCCUCCCACACCACCUGUGAUCCAAACCCAGAACUCUGGGACUGCAAGAGUUGAGCAGAGAGGGAACAGGCUUGGGGCAGAAGCCACGAGCACCCCAGCAGUGUGGGAUGUCACCUCAGCCUGUGCUCCUGGGAAACCACAGUGAUUAAACAAAUCUGCAGAUGAAAGACCUGAAUGGAGACAGGAAACCAUCCAAACCCUAGAGGAGAACGCAGGAAAAAACCUCUUUGACCUCAGCUGCAGCAAUUUCUUACUCGACACAUCUCCAAAGGCAAGGGAAUUAAAAGCAAAAAUGAACUAUUGGGACCUCAUGAAGAGAAAAAGCUUCUGCACUGCAAAGGAAACAAUCAACAAAACUAAAAGGCAACCAAUGGAAUGGGAAAAGAUAUUUGCAAAUGACAUCGGACAAAGGGCUAGUAUCCAAAAUCUAUAAAGAGCUCACCAAACGCCACACCCAAAAACGGUGAAGAAAUGGGCAGAAAACAUAAAUAGACACUUCUCUAAAGAAGACAUCCAGAUGGCCAACAGGCACAUGAAAAGAUGCUCAGUGUCGCUCCUCAUCAGGGAAAUACAAAUCAAAACCACACUGAGGUACCACCUCAUGCCAGUCAGAGUGGCCAAAAUGAACAAAUCAGGAGACUAUAGAUGCUGGUGAGAAUGUGGAGAAACGGGAACCCUCUUGCACUGUUGGUGGGAAUGCAAAUUGGUGCAGCCGCUCUGGAAAACAGUGUGGAGGUUCCUCCAAAAAUUAAAAAUAGAUCUACCCUAUGACCCAGCAAUAGCACUGCUAGGAAUUUACCCAAGGGAUACAGGAGUGCUGAUGCAUAGGGGCACUUGUACCCCAACGUUUUACAGCAGCACUUUCAACAACAGCCAAAUUAUGGAAAGAGCCUAAAUGUCCAUCAACUGACGAAUGGAUAAAGAAAUUGUGGUUUAUAUACACAAUGGGAAUACUAUGUGGCAAUGAGAAAGAAUGAAAUAUGGCCUUUUGUAGCAACGUGGAUGGAACUGGAGAGUGUUAUGCUAAGUGAAAUAAGUCAUCCAGAGAAAAGAC